AUUCAGCUGACGAGUCCGAGAUGGGACGAAAUGCGGCUCCUGGAU
rnacentral:hammerhead_ribozyme from 1 species